GGCUCUGUAGCGCAAUGGAUAGCGCAUUGGACUUCUAAUUCAAAGGUUGUGGGUUCGAGUCCCACCAGAGUCA
rnacentral:tRNA from 1 species